rnacentral:rRNA from 1 species
GACGAACGCUGGCGGCGUGCUUAACACAUGCAAGUCGUACGGUAAGGCCCUUUCGGGGGUACACGAGUGGCGAACGGGUGAGUAACACGUGAGUAACCUGCCCACAACUUUGGGAUAACGCUAGGAAACUGGUGCUAAUUCUGGAUAUGUGCUCCUGCUGCAUGGUGGGGGUUGGAAAGCUCCGGCGGUUGUGGAUGGACUCGCGGUCUAUCAGCUUGUUGGUGGGGUAGUGGCCUACCAAGGCGGCGACGGGUAGCCGGCCUGGGAGGGUGACCGGCCACAUUGGGACUGAGAUACGGCCCAGACUCCUACGGGAGGCAGCAGUGGGGAAUAUUGCACAAUGGGCGCAAGCCUGAUGCAGCAACGCCGCGUGCGGGAUGACGGCCUUCGGGUUGUAAACCGCUUUCAGCAGGGACGAAGCUUUUUGUGACGGUACCUGCAGAAGAAGCACCGGCUAACUACGUG